rnacentral:rRNA from 1 species
GACGAACGCUGGCGGCGUGCUUAACACAUGCAAGUCGAACGGAAAGGCCCUGCUUUUGUGGGGUGCUCGAGUGGCGAACGGGUGAGUAACACGUGAGUAACCUGCCCUUGACUUUGGGAUAACUUCAGGAAACUUGGGCUAAUACCGGAUAGGAGCUCCUGCUGCAUGGUGGGGGUUGGAAAGUUUCGGCGGUUGGGGAUGGACUCGCGGCUUAUCAGCUUGUUGGUGGGGUAGUGGCUUACCAAGGCUUUGACGGGUAGCCGGCCUGAGAGGGUGACCGGACAAAUUGGGACGGAGAUACGGCACAGACUCCUACGGGAGGCAGCAGUGGGGAAGAGUGCACAAUGGGAGGAAGCAUGAUGCAGCAACGCCGCGUGCGGGAUGACGGCCAUCGGGUUGUAAACCGCUUUCGCCUGUGACGAAGCGUGAGUGACGGUAAUGGGUAAAGAAGCACCGGCUAACUACGUG